AUUGAACGCUGGCGGCAUGCCUUACACAUGCAAGUCGAACGGCAGCGCGGGAGCAAUCCUGGCGGCGAGUGGCGAACGGGUGAGUAAUAUAUCGGAACGUGCCCAGUAGUGGGGGAUAGCCCGGCGAAAGCCGGAUUAAUACCGCAUACGACCUACGGGUGAAAGGGGGGGGAUCGCAAGACCUCUCGCUAUUGGAGCGGCCGAUAUCAGAUUAGGUAGUUGGUGGGGUAAAAGCCUACCAAGCCUGCGAUCUGUAGUUGGUCUGAGAGGACGACCAGCCACACUGGAACUGAGACACGGUCCAGACUCCUACGGGAGGCAGCAGUGGGGAAUUUUCCGCAAUGGGCGAAAGCCUGACGGAGCAAUACCGCGUGAGGGAAGAAUGCCUAUGGGUUGUAAACCUCUUUUUUCAGGGAGGAAUAAAAUGACGUGUACCUGAAGAAUAAGCAUCGGCUAACUCCGUG
rnacentral:rRNA from 1 species